UAACAGGUUAGACCCUGAGUUGCUCACCCCAUGCUACCCUCUGAGACCAUAACAGGUUAGACCCUGAGUUGCUCACCCCUUGCUACCCUCUGGAACUCGGUCUUGGAAAUGACAGACUGAUGUGCAUGAGCGAGAGAAGCUUAGUGCAAAAUUCAGCCAGCAGGAAGCAUGUCGUCACCAUCUGACAAGAUCCUCAGGAGGCGUAGAGGGAGGAGAAGCAUCAUCCCUGCCCUCUGUGACGUCAUGGCUGCAUCCAGCGCUCCCUGGAUGGGUCUCAUGGGUACCUGGGAGCAUGCUCUGUCCUCAUGUGCCUCUCACAUCAAUAUCUAAACUCAGCUUACAGAACAAGGGAAACUGCCUAGGAGGAGGCUUGUGUUCCUUGGGGCAAGGGCUUUUGCCCACCUCCACGCAGUUUGAUGUCACCUGCCUCCAGAUUGUGACAGAGCCUCAGCGCAGUCCCCUUCGAGGUGGCCUCAGACAUUUCCGGAAUUGGUUGUCAGAGGGUGGGCCCCCACGCAACGCCAGCUUGCAGAGUGCAGAACUGGAAGCCACCAGGAUACCGAGUUUCUCCAAAGGGCGGCACAGGCCUAGGGUCUGAUCCUGUGAGUACCCAUGAUUGCUCUGCCUGUGGAAGCUCUGCCUGUGAAAACAGUCUUGUUUUCACUAAUGCUCGGAUUCCAUCCUUCCUUCUGUUCCAGGAGUUCAGAAGUAACUCAUGUUUCAGUGCAACAUGCCACCGUCUGUCUUGAGUAAGCUGUUACUGACAGUACGUGCUAAGGCUUGAAUUAUUCAAACCCGAGUAAAACAGGUUCAAGGUUAUCUCCAGAGUGACUGUCAUACUCACUUGCUUUCUUGAGUGAAAUUGAAAUGGGAGAAGUUGCAUCCUCCCUGUCGAUAACUGAGCUCAGGACUGUGUUUCACUUGGGGAUACCACCCACUGCAGAUGUGAGCUAGGGUUCGAAGUCUCUUUGACCUCAAAAUGGGCCUCGUGUGGUACUCUCCCCAUAGAAAACACUGCCUGUCAACCAGCCACCACAAUGAAACCUUGACUUUGUCAGAAAAAAUGUUUCUAAAUGGCAAGUAUGGACUUAGACCAGUCUAAGGCCCUAUACACUCUGUGUCUUAUGUGAUGAGAAGCUGUCUCGCAAGCAUCCUGUCACAAGGAGAACCUCAACGAGUGGCAUUAGUAGACUGUUAGUGCAGCUCAGCUUUGAAAUUUUAUGGGGGCCCAACUGUGCAAAA
rnacentral:lncRNA from 1 species